AAACUAAUCCAAUCUGAGUGGCAUCACCAAGAAAGAGAAUGAGAAAAUGUCCUUCCACUGCCUGAGCCUGGCUUUGGAGCCUCCACUGCUGAAGCCUGAGCUGCAAAUGGAAAGAUCAAGAAUCUUCUAAAGCAGAAAUUCUACCCUGGCUACACUUGCUUUUUGGGAAUUGCCUCUCCUUAAUCCUGGCUGCCCAGCUGCACCCUACAGUGAUGGGUGGAGCCUGCUGUGAGAGCACGGUUUGUACAAAGCAGGCAGCACAGCCUGUGCAGUGUGGCUCGCUCAGCACAGGUAGAAGACAAAGCCACACCACUACAAGGGAUUUUCCUCGGCUGCAGGCACCAGGACAGAAGGAAACUCUUGGGAGUCUCCUUGCAGGAUGCUGCAGCCCCAGCUGCAGCCAGCAGCUCUCCUCAUCUGGCAGGGUAUGUACAAAGCAUCACAAACAGCCGUUUUUGCUGGCCAUGUUUUUAUUUGUUUUAAGUUUUAAACAGGGGAGCCAAUGAUACAUCCAGUAUUUCAAAAAAUCAGAAGGUAAAACAAAUUUUUAAAAGACCGAGAUGCUACAUGCUAUAUUUAACCUAAUUUUAUUCAUGCUUGCUUUGGAGGGGGGCUGGGACUGGGACAGGAAUCAUUCAGUAAAAA